GGAUUCUGACCCCCAGUUUCGUCGUCUGUAAGGCCUGGCUGCCAGUACUCCCAGGAGAGGAGUGGAGCCCCAGCUGCCCGCUCUUGGGGAAGGGGUGGCUGCUGGGGCCAUGGGGCCAAGAGGACAGCUUGGAGGACUCCAUGGGGAGAGAGAGGCCCUGGAGACAGGUGUAGAAAGGGAGGCCUGGGGGCAGGGUGGGGAAAGGCGGAGUGGAGGCGGAGCUUGAAAGUGGAAGGAGGAAGAGGAUGUGAGCGGGGCUUCAAGGCCAGCUCCUGCUCGGGCCAAACCAGCAUGAACCAAGAGCACGGAGAGGGCCCUUUCCCUACCCCAGAGCCGGCCCGGCUGAGGGUCCCUCUGCAACAGGGAGACUGCGAUGCCUGCUUCUCGGAAGGAGAGAAAAGACGAGGAGGCUGAGUCCGGAGGGCUUCCUGGAGGUGGUGGGCCAGCACUUUGGAAAGGAAGCUGAGUGCUGACCUUGUGAACUCACGUGACGAUCUUUGAGGGUACUCACCCCCCAUCCCGGGGCCAUUUGACAGCCAGGAACCCAGAGGAUCUACCAGGACGGCUUCCCACCAGGGGCCACACCCCAUGGGGAACUGCAGCCCAGGGCCCAGCCCAGGUGCUCAGAAAAUGGUUUUGGAAACAAGACCUAAAAAGUAUCUACCUCACUGGCCAAGAGACCCGCCUCUCUGGUCAGCGCAACUGAAGUCGAUGGAGACUGCUGGCUCGUAGCAGGAACGUCACUGCCCACAGCCUGGUUCGUGAGGACGCCGGACCUCUCUGGGAGCUUGGACGGGAGGCUGGAAGGAGUGCAGGAAGCGAGAGAGAGGGCUAAGGUGGACAAGGCCACCCUCCCUCGAGGUGGUCAGCGCUUGGAGCCACCCAGCAGUGUCACCACGGACAGAUGGGACCCCAGCUUUUUGCUCAGCAGGCCCGGGGCGGGGCCCUGUCAUGUGCAUUUGAAUCAAGUUCUUUCCUACUUUAAAAAUUACCAAAAUUGUAACAGAUGAACAUAAACAGUAAAAAAAAAGGCUAAAAUGA